rnacentral:lncRNA from 1 species
UAUUUUUGUUAGAUAAAAUGAUGACAUUUGAUCUUUAAGUGGGGAGGAAUGUGGCAAUAUUGGAAUUAAGAGUUAUUUAUUAGCUCCCUUUUUAGCUUGAGCAUAUUUACAUUUUAUAUAAUUACUAUUGUUUACAUGAAAACUUUCACCUGUGUUUAUGUACACAAUAACUUUACUCCUUUUCUAAACCGGUUAUUAAUAGUUAAAGGUAAGAUUGUGUUGGUUAAAUUGCAAAUCUUAUUUCAAGAAAGUACCAUUUGUUAAGUCAUUUAGUUAUUAAUUAUAUACUGAAUUCACAUUUUAUACAGUGUCCAGAAUUCAUACUUUCCUCGAAGGUAACUAUCAGUAUUCAUUACAGCCAUGCUGUUUACUAUUACUGUUCUGGACCAAUUCGUCUCUUAAAUGUUUUGGCUUCAUUUUGGGUUUAAACUUUAGGACUUGGGUAUAAAAUGGUUUAAAUGAUACAGUUUAAAAUCCCUACUUAGAGUAAGACAUUUCCCCCACUUUAUUUAACUUCUGUAUUGUUGUACAACUAACUGCCAUAAUAUUAGAAUAUCUAUUGUGUAUUUUGGUAUGAAAUAAAUAUGAUUAUUGAGGUAUUAUUUCUUUAAGACUUCUUUUCCUAGAAUGCUGGCUUAUACUUGCCCAAAUCAUUAUCCGGUCAAGUAUUAGCUUUGUCCUCCCAGAGAAUUGUCCGUUAUGUCGGUUGUUGUAGACACUUGUCCCCUAGUGUGACAAGGUGUCCAGGGCAGAACUGGUCUUCAUUGUUUAUGUAAAGAACCUGGGUUUAUUU